AGAGUUUGAUCAUGGCUCAGAAUCAACGCUGGCGGCGUGCCUAACACAUGCAAGUCGCACGAGAAAGUGGAGCAAUCCAUGAGUACAGUGGCGCACGGGUGAGUAACACGUGAAUCAUCUACCUUCGAGUGGGGAAUAACUGAGAGAAAUCUUAGCUAAUACCGCAUAAUACCUACGGGUCAAAGCAGCAAUGCGCUUGAAGAGGAGUUCGCGGCAGAUUAGUUAGUUGGCGGGGUAAUGGCCCACCAAGACGAUGAUCUGUAUCCGGCCUGAGAGGGCGCACGGACACACUGGAACUGAAACACGGUCCAGACUCCUACGGGAGGCAGCAGUGGGGAAUUUUGCGCAAUGGGGGAAACCCUGACGCAGCAACGCCGCGUGGAGGAUGAAAUCCCUUGGGAUGUAAACUCCUUUCGAUAGGGAAGAUUAUGACGGUACCUAUAGAAGAAGCCCCGGCUAACUUCGUGCCAGCAGCCGCGGUAAUACGAGGGGGGCGAGCGUUGUUCGGAAUUAUUGGGCGUAAAGGGUGCGUAGGCGGUUUGACAAGUCUGAUGUGAAAUCUAUGGGCUCAACCCAUAGCCUGCAUCGGAAACUGUCGGACUUGAGUAUGGGAGAGGUGAGUGGAAUUUCCGGUGUAGCGGUGAAAUGCGUAGAUAUCGGAAGGAACACCUGUGGCGAAAGCGGCUCACUGGACCAUUACUGACGCUGAGGCACGAAAGCUAGGGGAGCAAACAGGAUUAGAUACCCCAGUAGUCC
rnacentral:rRNA from 1 species